rnacentral:rRNA from 1 species
GGGUUGUCAUGCCAAUGGCACUGCCCGGUAGCUAAAUGCGGAAGAGAUAAGUGCUGAAAGCAUCUAAGCACGAAACUUGCCCCGAGAUGAGUUCUCCCUGAGACUUUAAGUCUCCUGAAGGAACGUUGAAGACGAUGACGUUGAUAGGCCGGGUGUGUAAGCGCAGCGAUGCGUUGAGCUAACCGGUACUAAUGAACCGUGAGGCUUAACCUU